AGAGUUUGAUCAUGGCUCAGAACGUACGCUGGCGGCACGCCUAACACAUGCAAGUCGAACGCAGUAGCAAUACUGAGUGGCAAACGGGUGAGUAUAAUGUGGGAAUCUGCCUUUUGGUUCGGAAUAACACGGGGAAACUUGUGCUAAUACCGGAUAAGCCCUUACGGGGAAAGUUUUAACGCCGAAAGAUGAGCCCGCACUUGAUUAGCUAGUUGGUAAGGUAAAAGCUUACCAAGGCAACGAUCAAUAGCUGUUCUUAGAGGAAGACCAGCCACAUUGGGACUGAGACACGGCCCAGACUCCUACGGGAGGCAGCAGUGGGGAAUCUUGCACAAUGGGGGAAACCCUGAUGCAGCGAUGCCGCGUGAGUGAAGAAGGCCUUUGGGUUGUAAAACUCUUUCGUCGGGGAAGAAAAUGACUGUACCCGAAUAAGAAGGUCCGGCUAACUUCGUGCCAGCAGCCGCGGUAAUACGAAGGGACCUAGCGUAGUUCGGAAUUACUGGGCUUAAAGAGCUCGUAGGUGGUUAAAAAAGUUGAUGGUGAAAUCCCAAGGCUCAACCUUGGAACUGCCAUCAAAACUUUUUAGCUAGAGUGUGAUAGAGGUAAGUGGAAUUUCUAGUGUAGAGGUGAAAUUCGUAGAUAUUAGAAAGAACACCAAAUGCGAAGGCAACUUACUGGGGUCACUACUGACACUGAGGAGCGAAAGCAUGGGUAGCAAAGAGGAUUAGAUACCCUCGUAGUCCAUGCCGUAAACGAUGUGUGCUAGACGUUGGAAAUAUAUUUUUCAGUGUCGCAGCGAAAGCAUUAAGCACACCGCCUGGGGAGUACGACCGCAAGGUUAAACUCAAAUGAAUUGACGGGGACCCGCACAAGCAGUGGAGCAU
rnacentral:rRNA from 1 species